rnacentral:rRNA from 1 species
CUGCAUCGUGACGGGGAUAGAUCAUUGCAAUUAUUGGUCUUCAACGAGGAAUGCCUAGUAAGCGCGAGUCAUCAGCUCGCGUUGAUUACGUCCCUGCCCUUUGUACACACCGCCCGUCGCUCCUACCGAUUGGGUGUGCUGGUGAAGUGAUCGGAUUGGAUUCGAGCGGUGGCAACACUGCUCGGAACCGAGAAGAUCAUUAAACCCUCCCACCUAGAGGAAGGAGAAGUCGUAACAAGGUUUCCGUAGGUGAACCGGSGGAAGGUUCAUUGAA